AAAGAAAAUGAAAGUUUCAUAAAUAACGCAAAUAUUGUUUAUUUGUUUAUUUCUAUUUGUUCUUUUUUCUCUUUUUCACCUAUUGUAUCCUACUAAUAUUUAAUUCAAAUUAAAUGUUUUUUGUGUUGGUGUACUUGUUAAAAGUUUAUGUCAUCUAAUUCUCGUACGAGUUGUAAAGUGAGUUCUAAUGUGUCCGUAUCUUUAUGCCAUUUUGCAUGUGAUGCAUUAGGAUUUACUUCGUGAGGUGUUGGAAGAUGCAAUCGGUAUCUGUGAAAGCAUUAUACAAUUAAUGUUUAGAAAGAAAGAGAUAGGAAGAGUGUGUACUUCCGAUGAAUGCCAAAUGUCAUCUUUUUCUUUAAGAGGAGUGUGUGGCUUUAAAUUAUUAAAAGGUAGACAAUUGACUGUUCGUGCCCCUACGUGUACACUCGAUGAUGUAAAAGGAACAAUUCCAUUAUUUGAAACUAUCGUGCUUCGAGAGCUGCAGGACUUUUUUUUUUAAACAUGGAGCGAUGGUUAGUGAAUUUAAAUAGUCUAAGACAAGGCUUAAAUUUUUUCUACUCGCGACUCCUUUUCACUUGAGAAAUUUUUACACGACUUCGUAAUAAGUAUACAAAUAAAAAUCUUGAUUCAUUAUGCGUUUGAUUUUGAAUGGAUUUGUAGUCAUUAUGCAUUCAGAAAUCUUUUACUUUUACCAAAUUUUUCGGAAUCUUCACAUUCAAUUACGCAUCCCCAUAUGAGAUCGCAAUUUACAGUUUAAGAAGCUUAAUAAUAUAUAUAAUAGGACAUGAUGAAAUUUUAAUUAAAAGUGAUAUGUAUGUAUAUGAAACUAAUAAAUGUCUUUACAUGCUGAAUU